UACGUAGGGAGCAAGCGUUAUCCGGAAUUAUUGGGCGUAAAGAGCUCGUAGGCGGUUUGUCGCGUCUGCUGUGAAAACUGGGGGCUCAACCCCCAGCCUGCAGUGGGUACGGGCAGACUAGAGUGUGGUAGGGGAGAUCGGAAUUCCUGGUGUAGCGGUGAAAUGCGCAGAUAUCAGGAGGAACACCGAUGGCGAAGGCAGUUCUCUGGGCCGUAACUGACGCUGAGGAGCGAAAGCGUGGGGAGCGAACAGG
rnacentral:rRNA from 1 species